AUCAUGGUUCCUGCUUCUUAGAUUCUAUAAUGAAAACAAAGCACUGAACACAGUGCCUUGUAUAGACAGAGUACGCGCUUGGCAGCUGCUAGCUACUUUUUUUCCAUUGACACCCACGUAAGUCCAGACCCUCUAGGUGCCCACCUCUGUGACUCCCCAGAAGACCAGUUGUGGACCCCACUUCAUGCCUUGCAAUAAGUGCUGUACUUUCCUUCACUGCAAUCUGGGAUCAGUACGUUGGCUUUGCUGUGUGCAGUGACCCAAAGUAUGAAGACCAGAGGACCGAGGUUGGCACAACCACUUUGGAAUUAAAUGUAAAUACUCCAUUUCACGUCGGUGACAUGCUGGGCUGAUAAAACAUCCUCAGCAAACUCAGUAUCAAGGGAUCUGUUUCUAAUACAAGUGCCUAUUGUCUUUCAUAUGUGAAGAUUAUUCAGAAACCUUUGGGCUGCUUUAUAUAUUAGCAUGUAGAUGUCUCAAUUUAUAAAGCCAUGGUGCAUCCUAUUAAUCUCUGUGUCCUCAGUAUCUAGAACUUUCCCGCAUACAAUAAGUGCUCAAUAAAUAUUUGCAAAACGGAUGAAGGAAAAAAAAUCUCCAUACCCUAUACCUCACCCUUCAACUGGAAUUGAAAGGGCAGUUGCAAGGAUUGAUAGGAAAACCCCGAAUUUUGGUGACAUACCACUAAAAUUUGAUCGUGACUUCUUAGCCAAAGAUGUUUCUUGAACUAUACAAAUGUUAAUAAAUAAGCUUAUCACUUAUUAAA